AGUGACUUAGAAUCGUGAAGGAUGAGAACCGUAAGGUUCGACAAAAUCGACAUCGUCGAUUUUGAACAACGCGUCAAGCGUUGGCCCGAAGGGGCGAGGCCGUAGGCCGAGUCAUCCUGCACGACCCACCA
rnacentral:sRNA from 2 species